rnacentral:rRNA from 1 species
UACGUAGGUGGCAAGCGUUGUCCGGAUUUACUGGGCGUAAAGAGCGCGCAGGCGGUCGGAUAAGUCGAAUGUGAAAGCCCCCGGCUCAACUGGGGAGGGUCAUUCGAUACUGAUCGACUCGAAGGCAGGAGAGGGUAGUGGAAUUCCCGGUGUAGUGGUGAAAUGCGUAGAUAUCGGGAGGAACACCAGUGGCGAAGGCGACUACCUGGCCUGUUCUUGACGCUGAGGCGCGAAAGCUAGGGGAGCAAACGGGG